rnacentral:rRNA from 1 species
GUCGUAACAAGGUUUCGUAGGUGACCUGCGGAAGGAUCAUUAUUGAAAUAAUCUGUGGGUGCUGUGCUGGCCUCUCGGGGCAUGUGCACGCACUUGCUAAUUAUCAUUAUCUUCUUGUGAACCUAGUGUAGUCGUUUUGGUUUUUGAAGUGUAUGGGGGCGACCCUGUAGGCUUUGAAGGCUCGAGCGACUAUGAUUUUAUAUAAACUAUUGUCUGUCCUAGAAUGUUACUUUAUUGACUGCGAAGUCAGUAAACUUUAUACAACUUUCAGCAACGGAUCUCUUGGCUCUCCCAUCGAUGAAGAACGCAGCGAAAUGCGAUAAGUAAUGUGAAUUGCAGAAUUCAGUGAAUCAUCGAAUCUUUGAACGCACCUUGCGCCCUUUGGUAUUCCGAAGGGCAUGCCUGUUUGAGUGUCAUUAAAUUCUCAACCUUGAACCAGUUUUUGUGACUGGGUCAAGGCUUGGAUGUGAGGGCUUUGCUGGCUUCCUUCAGUGGAUGGUCUGCUCCCUUUAAAUGCAUUAGUGGGAUCCUUUGUGGACGGUCACUUGGUGUGAUAAUUAUCUACGCCGCGUUGACUGUGAAGCAAAACUUAUGGGACCCUGCUUAUAACCGUCCUUCGGGACAAUUUUAUUGACCAUUUGACCUCAAAUCAGGUAGGACUACCCGCUGAACUUAAGCAUAUCAAUAAGCGGAGGAAAAGAAACUAACAAGGAUUCCCCUAGUAACUGCGAGUGAAGCGGGAAAAGCUCAAAUUUAAAAUCUGGCAGCUUCGCUGUCCGA